rnacentral:lncRNA from 1 species
UAUCAUACAAUUUAUACAUGUAAUUCAAUCAAAGUAACAUACAGGCUUCAUCGAAAUCUUAAGCUUCAUUCCAUAAACAAAACGACCAUAUAUAAGGAGGUUGUUCACAAAAGGAGUACAUAUAUGUUUGCCACAACCAAAAUAAAGUACCGCCACAAGAGGAGAUCAUAUGUUUCUAAAUGUGUGCCACGCAACCAAAAUGAGCUUAACAAGCACCAAAAUGGGCAGAGCAAAUCUCUAGGUUCAACAAACAAGACAUACAACAUUAUCACUCCAUCUUAGUUGUAGAUAUUCCAAAUCUCAAGCAGCUUGAAGAACUUCCAAACCUUAGUGAACUUGUACCUUUGGGAAACCUGCAACAAAUCAGAAGAUGUUACAUACAACAGUUGCAUUCAGCACUUAAGGAAGAAGUUACAACAAUCUCUACCAUUUUUAUUAUCUUAACAAGUAACAAGCUUAUCUUCUCAUCAAAAUUGUACAAAGUCUGUACAAAUAUUAACAGGAAUAUGUUACAACAAUCAUAUACAGCAGCCGCAUGGCCACAUACAACAGCCGAAUAUGUUCUGAAACAUAGAGCAACUAGUAACAUCUCUAGAGUAACCUCUACUUUAGUAGAGAACAUGUCCAUUUUUAUCAUACUGAUAGUAGCAAGUUUAUCUUACUUCUCAUCCAAAUAGUGUGCAAAGUACAAAUAUUAACAGUAAAUAGUACGUGUACCUAUCUUGUACAGCAGAAAGUGGUAUAAUCAUGUUCCAUGCACAAAGUUACUGUACUAGCCAGCAAAAAAAGGAAAACUAAUUUGAAUCGUUAUCAGCUUGAGGAUUGUCACUGCAAGAUGGCAAGAAUUUUGAGAAAACAGUUUGACAGACAUGCAAAUAUCUUAAGAAUAAUAAUAUAAAACUUCACAAUAUGACGGAGGUGUUACCAUCGAAAAAACUUGAAUGCAAGUACGUUAUCAUCAAAUGACACUCCUAAUAAGGCAGAGACACUAAAUAUGUCCAUAAUCAGCUUUAAUUUAAGAAAUUGAAUCAUAUUAACAAAUCUAAGUUUUCAAAAGUGCAGAAGCAGAGGAGCAGUUAUAUAUUAAGUUCUAGGCCAACAAUAGCAAUGAAUAAGCAUGUGGUUCCAAGCUCUGAUUCCUUGCUAGAAGUAAUACAUAAACAUCAUAUGGGAAACUUCUUUGUUACUCAAGCAAAUUUCUUUCUCAAGAUAUACAUUGGAGUCUACAACAUGCAGAGACAGAUAAUGCCUGCCAGACAUCAAUCUCAAAAGAACAUCUUCCAAGAAGGAACUUACAUUACACCUUGUGUCAGAGUUAUUCGAUAUAGCUAUAAGUUUGGUGUUAUUAUCGCCAAAGCAUUAUAAUCCACCGCCAUCUGCAAAAAUAAAACAAUGACAAGUAGCUUGAAUUAUAUUCCUUGGUAGAAUAUAUCAAUAAGUACAUAUUAUUACAUGCUUGUGUAGCAAUGACAAUUUAUUAAGUGGUUGUUGUAGCGUUCUCUUUUAUCAGAUUCAACUAGAGUGUAAUAGAAGAAAUGCAUCACUUAUUUCAAAACCAUUGAGUGAUUAUAUAUACUAACAAUAUAAGGUGUACUACUCGAAGCAGGAUACAGGUUAACUACAAUGUCAAUAUAUAUCAACAGUGAGAGGCUUUUGAGAAGAGCCUAGAUUUAGUUAUGUUUAAAUUCUGGGACAAGAUUGUUUGUAACAAUUUCUAGGCAGAACCACCAUAAGCCCUAGAGCUCCAGCCCUUUCGCAAAGCCUCUAUCACUCCAUAGUAAAUCCAUCAGCGAAGAAAUGUGAGUGCUAAGCAGCAAUGACGGAAAAAAGUCGGAAUUAGUGCUGAUUUCUAACACUAUCUGCAUGUAACAAGUACUGCUACACUACCCAGGUGGCCAAAUUCAGAGCAACAAAGGUCAAUGGGAAAAACCAAGAGCAUGCACUUUACUGAAAUAGUAAGGAGUUUUAACCCACAUUGGAACAAAUAUAACUGAAAUCCUAAUAGAGUCAGAAUAAAUCCUAAACCCGAAGAAUUAACAACCCAAUCCACUGUCACUGCUUGCAUAGCCAUUGUAUCCAAACAGGCCCUACAUUCAGUGCUACCACUUCUGUAUGGUUCUGAGCUUAAAAGUAAGUUCUAGCUAGAGGAAUGUAAUCAACCAAUAGAAAAAUUAAGGCAUGGGAAAUAAGAAAACAUAAUUGAAACAAAUGAUGAAAAUUUCCAAUUCUCAAGAUUUUGUUAGGAGAAGAACUUUGCAUAAGUUUGAAGAUUCUAAACUAUUCAUAUUUGGGCGGUGAUCUUGCUCGCAAUAUUUAUCCUUGACCGAUGGAUCAGAAAUGAAAGCGAAAGUCAGUAACAUGCCCUUCUUUUUUUAAACGAAGCAUGGCCUACAUUUUAAGAAUCUUUCGUAUGACCUCGUAUACCUGAGCCUUUUCUUGUUUUGUUUUCUAAACUGACUCUUAGACCUGAAAUAGGAAAUGACUCUUACACCUGAAAUAGGACCAUAUACUUUUGCUAUUACAACUGAUAGGUACAAACUCAACUAUAUGGCUUCACAAGUUGGAGCGACAAACCUUCACAAAAUGUAUGCAUAACUGAACUAAUGCUCAAGGCAUAAACCAUGUGUGUUGUGGUGUAUAUUGGUUAAUUAAAGGUAAAAGUUCCACUAGGCUAUCAGAAUACUAGAGAAGAUUAUAAAAUAAAAUCACUUGAGAAUUCUUUUACAAAAUGGUUACUUUGCUACAAAAGAUUUAUUUGGUGCAUUGUGACCGUGAGUGUCCUUGUUAAGGAGAGAAAAGACAUACAUGGAAACAAACAAGUGAUAGCAUCUUGAUCCAUACAUACAGGUGAUGAGCUCGAUGAUGAUAGAGGCGUUGUGGUGCUCACUGGUAGCGAGUGUAGAGGAACAGGUGGUGCAGCGCGUGGUUGAACAAUUAGUGGUUGAGCUCGACAGGGCCGACGUGGAGCAGCUCUACCAGCAGCGCGCCAUCUGUCUUCCACAGCAGCAGGUGCUGCACGGCUGCACCCCGAGAAGGUGCAGGCCCGACGAAGAAGAGGGACGCUCGAUAACGAUACAGCUCGCGGUUGACCCUGCUUGAACGCGAUGCCACGAAGAAGAGCACCAUGUGGCGUUGGGAGUGAGGAAGAGGGAGUCCUUGGAGAGGCCGUCGGGGACGAACUCCUCAGGAGACAGGCAGCUACUCUCCCGGUCUCACCCUGUCAGCGGAUCUGGGCGAGGCGGAUAAGAUGACGAUGGGGGAAGUGUUUAUGUGGAGGUGAACAACCGGGGCGGCGUUGAUGAGGACCGGGCUAGAUCCGGCAGCAUCGACCACCGGUGCGGCCAGACCGACAGAUCCAGCAAUGACCAGGCCGGGCCGCUUCCAUGGAAAUGGCAGCUCAGCGGAGGAAGAGAGGUAGGGCGGCGGCGCACAGGGAAGGGGAGAACGGGCCGGCCAGAAGUAGAGUUAGGAAGGGGCGGCGGUGGAGUGGGGGGCGGCGGCGGCGGGUCUGUGAUUUGGGGAAGGGACGGGAGUGGCUGGGUCGAUACAGAGGGAUUUGGGGAAGAGAGGGUUUUUUUAAGCAAAGGGGA